GCGGAGUACGGGCAAGCGGCGGCGGGAGUGCGGAGGGGGGAAGCGUUAUCCGGAUUUACUGGUGGUAAAGGGGGCGUAGGCGGAUGGACAAGUCUGAGGUGAAAGGCUUGGGCUCAACCCCGGGACUGCAUUGGAAACUGCCCGGCUUGAGUGCCGGAGAGGUAAGCGGAAUUCCUAGUGUAGCGGUGAAAUGCGUAGAUAUUAGGAGGAACACCAGUGGCGAAGGCGGCUUACUGGACGGUAACUGACGUUGAGGCUCGAAAGCGUGGGGAGCAAACAGGAUUAGAUACCCGAGUAGUC
rnacentral:rRNA from 1 species